GUUGCCAUGGAGCUGCCGGCUCCAAACCACGCCGCCGGCGCCGCCGAGGGCAAUCGCCAAGGACCGCCGCCUCCCGGAGCGGCCCGGGGUUUCUGUGCCUCCGGAGCCCGAGAACCUGGGACCCAGGCCAGCCAGAGCUAAUUUCUAUCUCCCAGCAUGGAGGACGACGGCAGCCUGCUCCCCAAGGAUGAGCUUUUGGCCGAUGCCCCCCUUUUGGAAGAUGAAAGAGAUGAAUUAGAGGAUCCGGAGUUUGACAUCAAAUGUCUUCUGCAGGAAGCUGAGGAUGACGUGGACCCAGGACACAGCAGCUCAGUGAAAGAACUAGAUACUGAUGCUGAUAAAUUGAAGAAGAAAACAGCUGAGGACAGAAUGCAGGCAUUUCACCUGCGACAGAACCUGAGCGCCCUGGAUAAGAUGCAUGAGGAGCAAGAGCUUUUCAUUGAGAAGAUGAGAGGGGAGCUGCGCGCCUGUCGGCAGAGGCGGGACCUGAUCAACAAGCAGCAGGAGGCUGUGGCAGCCGAGAUCGCCACAGAGGAAGAGGCGGGCAACAUGGCCGCCGUGGGCCGUCUCCAGGCCGUGUCCAGACGCCUGUUUGCGGAGCUGGAGAACGAGAGAGACCUGCAGUCGAGGACUGAGGCCGUGCUGAAGGAGAGCGAGUGAGUUGGUGUGGAGCCGGGACUGGCAGCAGGCGGGUCCCAGAACGAACAGCGAGCUGGGUUUUCAAAACCCAGGAGAGAGACAGCUGCCUCGUCCUAAAUGCUUUCCUGUGGAGCUGGGUUGGAUGCGUCGAGUUGCCUUUGGCGAGUUUGGCAAGAAGGGGUUUGGGAAGGUGCACAAAUUGCUCAGAGUGACUGAGGGGACCCUGAGCUGACCUCAAGUAGGACUCCCGAACCACACAGCCCCCAGCCCGGGAGCUGCAGCCGGGUCCAAGACGUCCACAGCACUGACCCUGCACAUGCCCGGGAUGACCUAAGCUUUCCAGCCUGGGCAGGGCAGGGGGCACAGAGAGGGCUGAGUGUGGGCCUCAGGCCACCCCACCCCCAAGAGUGCCCAUGCCACCAGCCCUCGUGCGACCUAACAUCUCAGCCUCACCCCACUGAAGACACCACUGGGCUUUGACCCAGUCUCUGACCUGCGCUCACUGUGAUGUAGUCACGACCCAAGCUGGUGUCCAGUGCUCUGCACCGUGGCCCCACCUGUGUGGGCAGCGGGAAGGGUGCAGGGGAGGACAGGACGCUGAACCCAGCUGCGGCUGAGCGCGGAGGAGAGCACUGUCCCCUGUGGCCCUCCUUUGACAACUGUCUCUGUCGUGCCCCUCUCGCUGCUCAGCAACACCUGCACCAGCGCGGGGGGCUCAGCGCGGGGGGCUUCACAGGGCAAUGAACCCCCGACGGCCUCACUUUACCAGGUUGCUGUGAUUGUCCACUUCUUUAAAAAAAAAAAAAAAAAGUUUUUGGGCUGGGCCCAGUGGCUCAUGCCUAUAAUCCCAACACUUUGGGAGGCCAAGGCGGGUGGAUCACCUGAGGUCAGGAGUUCAAGACCAGCCUGGGCAACAUGGCAAAACCCUGUCUCUAUUAAAAAUACAAAAAUUAACUGGGCUUGGUGGUGCGUGCCUGUAAUCCCAGCUACUUGGGAGGCUGAGGCAGGAGAAUCGCUGGAGCCCAGAGGUAGAGGUUGCAGUGAGCCAAGAUUGCGCCGCCACACUCCAGCCUGGGUGACAGAGAGAGCAAGACUCUGUCUUUAAAAAAAAAAAAAAAAAAAAAAAAAAAAAGCCCGGGCGCGGUGGCUCAUGCCUAUCAUCCCAGCACUUUGGGAGGCCGAGGUGGGCAGAUCACGAGGUCAGGAGAUCGAGACCAUCCUGGCUAACACGGUGAAACCCCGUCUCUACUAAAAAUACAAAAAAUUAGCUGACCAUGGUGGCGGGCGCCUGUAGUCCCAGCUACUCGGGAGGCUGAGGCAGGAGAAUGGUGUGGACCUGGGAGGCAGAGCCUGCAGUGAGUCAAGAUCGCUCCACUGCACUCCAGCCUGGGCGACAGAGUGAGACUCCAUCUCAAAAAAUAAAUAAAUAAAGUUUUAUUUUGACAC
rnacentral:sRNA from 1 species